GACAGAGGGUGCAAACGUUGUUCGGAAUUACUGGGCGUAAAGCGCGUGUAGGCGGCCAUGCAAGUCGGAUGUGAAAGCCCCGGGCUCAACCUGGGAAUGGCAAUGGAUACUGGCAAGCUAGAGUGCGGUAGAGGGUAGUGGAAUUCCCGGUGUAGCGGUGAAAUGCGUAGAGAUCGGGAGGAACACCAGUGGCGAAGGCGGACUACCUGGACCAGCACUGACACUGAGGCACGAAAGCGUGGGGAGCAAACAGGG
rnacentral:rRNA from 1 species